rnacentral:rRNA from 1 species
UACGUAGGCAGCAAGCGUUGUUCGGAGUUACUGGGCGUAAAGAGUGCGUAGGUGGUGCCCUAAGUCUGUUGUGAAAUCUCCCGGCUUAACUGGGAGGGUGCGGUGGAAACUGGGGUGCUUGAGUGUGGGAGAGGUAAGCGGAAUUCCUGGUGUAGCGGUGAAAUGCGUAGAUAUCAGGAGGAACGCCGGUGGCGAAAGCGGCGGACUGGAUCUUUUCUGACGCUGAUGCGCGAAAGCCAGGGGAGCAAACGGG